UACGAAGGGUGCAAGCGUUACUCGGAAUUACUGGGCGUAAAGCGCACGUAGGCGGCUUUGUAAGUUAGAGGUGAAAGCCCGGGGCUCAACCCCGGAAUAGCCUUUAAGACUGCAUCGCUUGAACACGGGAGAGGUGAGUGGAAUUCCCAGUGUAGAGGUGAAAUUCGUAGAUAUUGGGAAGAACACCAGUGGCGAAGGCGGCUCACUGGCCCGUAACUGACGCUGAGGUGCGAAAGCGUGGGGAGCAAACAGG
rnacentral:rRNA from 1 species